rnacentral:lncRNA from 1 species
CAAACUAAGAUCAGAGGGAGUGCUAAAUUUGAUCCAGGGCAAAAGUGAUUCCUUUUCACUUAAUGGAGAGCCAAGGGCAAUAGAACCCAAUCUAGGAGGCAUGCACACAUUCCACAUGUCAAAAGAAAGUGAAACGUAACUUCUUGGAACCAGAAACAGCACAGGACAGAAAACACAAUUAAAUAGCAAGUUGACCAUCUUUAGAUUGUGAGUCGAUCAACAGCUGUCUUAAUAUCAAAGAGCUCAUUCUAACACAAACGAACCCAUAAACCAUGGUCUUAAGCUACAAUCCCGAUAAACAAAAUCAUCACAGUGUUCGCAGAAUUCAAACAUCAACAGAGAGGACAGCACCCCACGCACGCAUUGGAUCUGAAGACCUGUUGGGUGCUCCCACUUGCUGAAGAGUCGCUUCUUCACUCCAUGGUAGCUCCAGAACCGAAAGUGCCGCCGCCGCCUCCACGGCCAAAGGGCCUGGCAGCACCACCAGCACCCUGGAGAAACAAUUACAGAUUGUACAAAAUUAGAUAACCAGAAGGAAGUAUAGAGUUUAUAUGUGCAAUUAAGGAAUGGUUUACAUAGUAGAGUCUAUAUGUGCAAUGAAGGAAUGUUUUACAUAGUACAGCACCAGAAUUGAAAACUGUUUUACAUAGAACAGAAACAGAGCUGAGAACUGCCAAGCUAUGAUCAAGCCUCAUAGGAAACCAGAGCUUAACACUACAAUCUAUGAUCAAGCUAAAAACCAAUACAGUAUCACAGUAGAAUAUUUCCAACAUAUAAUGAGAGAAUCAGAGUCCAGUUAUCAAAACUGGUUCGAAUGCUAGAAGCUAGAAACGUAAUCAUGUCAUGAAUGCACACCUAAGUUGAUGCCAACAAUCAUAUGAAAUUUAACAACGGUAAUUGCAGUCCUUACCCUGAAAGCUGGCUGGUACUCAGCAGGAGCUCCACCCUUCUCACCAGCAAAAUCACCUGGAGCACCACGUGGGCCUCCUCUGUAACCAUCCCUGUCACCAUACCUGGGCCUGUCACCCUCAAAACGAGGAGG